CGUCGCUCCCCCGACGCCUCCUGAGGGGAAGCGGCGCCGACCAGGAGGCUGGCCGCCGUUGAUGCUCGACCGCCGGCGGCGAGCAGACCAGUCGGGCUGGACAAUCGCGGACCCUGUCGGCGCGGGGCCGCGGGCGUCGAGAUGCAAAAGGCCGACUACGCACGUAGAAACCCGACCGGAAGUGCCGCGGGACGGGGGUUCGAUUCCCCCCGCCUCCAAUC
rnacentral:tmRNA from 1 species